GGACGAACGCUGGCGGCGUGCUUAACACAUGCAAGUCGAGCGGUAAGGCCCUUCGGGGUACACGAGCGGCGAACGGGUGAGUAACACGUGGGUGAUCUGCCCUGCACUUCGGGAUAAGCCUGGGAAACUGGGUCUAAUACCGGAUAUGACCAGGAGCUGCAUGGCUUCUGGUGGAAAGGUUUACUGGUGCAGGAUGGGCCCGCGGCCUAUCAGCUUGUUGGUGGGGUAAUGGCCUACCAAGGCGACGACGGGUAGCCGACCUGAGAGGGUGACCGGCCACACUGGGACUGAGACACGGCCCAGACUCCUACGGGAGGCAGCAGUGGGGAAUAUUGCACAAUGGGCGAAAGCCUGAUGCAGCGACGCCGCGUGAGGGAUGACGGCCUUCGGGUUGUAAACCUCUUUCAGCAGGGACGAAGCGCAAGUGACGGUACCUGCAGAAGAAGCACCGGCCAACUACGUGCCAGCAGCCGCGGUAAUACGUAGGGUGCGAGCGUUGUCCGGAAUUACUGGGCGUAAAGAGUUCGUAGGCGGUUUGUCGCGUCGUCUGUGAAAACCCACCGCUCAACGGUGGGCCUGCAGGCGAUACGGGCAGACUUGAGUACUGCAGGGGAGACUGGAAUUCCUGGUGUAGCGGUGAAAUGCGCAGAUAUCAGGAGGAACACCGGUGGCGAAGGCGGGUCUCUGGGCAGUAACUGACGCUGAGGAACGAAAGCGUGGGUAGCAAACAGGAUUAGAUACCCUGGUAGUCCACGCCGU
rnacentral:rRNA from 1 species